AAUCCAUAGGUUAAUGAGGCGAACCGGGGGAACUGAAACAUCUAAGUACCCCGAGGAAAAGAAAUCAACCGAGAUUCCCCCAGUAGCGGCGAGCGAACGGGGAGGAGCCCAGAGCCUGAAUCAGCAUGUGUGUUAGUGGAAGCGUCUGGAAAGGCGCGCGAUACAGGGUGACAGCCCCGUACACAAAAGCGCAUGUGCUGUGAGCUCGAUGAGUAGGGCGGGACACGUGGUAUCCUGUCUGAAUAUGGGGGGACCAUCCUCCAAGGCUAAAUACUCCUGACUGACCGAUAGUGAACCAGUACCGUGAGGGAAAGGCGAAAAGAACCCCGGCGAGGGGAGUGAAAAAGAACCUGAAACCGUGUACGUACAAGCAGUGGGAGCACCCUUCGGGGUGUGACUGCGUACCUUUUGUAUAAUGGGUCAGCGACUUAUAUUCUGUAGCAAGGUUAACCGUAUAGGGGAGCCGUAGGGAAACCGAGUCUUAACCGGGCGUUAAGUUGCAGGGUAUAGACCCGAAACCCGGUGAUCUAGCCAUGGGCAGGUUGAAGGUUGGGUAACACUAACUGGAGGACCGAACCGACUAAUGUUGAAAAAUUAGCGGAUGACCUGUGGCUGGGGGUGAAAGGCCAAUCAAACCGGGAGAUAGCUGGUUCUCCCCGAAAGCUAUUUAGGUAGCGCCUCGUGAAUUCAUCUCCGGGGGUAGAGCACUGUUUCGGCUAGGGGGCCAUCCCGGCUUACCAACCCGAUGCAAACUGCGAAUACCGGAGAAUGUUAUCACGGGAGACACACGGCGGGUGCUAACGUCCGUCGUGAAGAGGGAAACAACCCAGACCGCCAGCUAAGGUCCCAAAGUCAUGGUUAAGUGGGAAACGAUGUGGGAAGGCCCAGACAGCCAGGAUGUUGGCUUAGAAGCAGCCAUCAUUUAAAGAAAGCGUAAUAGCUCACUGGUCGAGUCGGCCUGCGCGGAAGAUGUAACGGGGCUAAACCAUGCACCGAAGCUGCGGCAGCGACACUGUGUGUUGUUGGGUAGGGGAGCGUUCUGUAAGCCUGUGAAGGUGUGUCGUGAGGCAUGCUGGAGGUAUCAGAAGUGCGAAUGCUGACAUAAGUAACGAUAAAGCGGGUGAAAAGCCCGCUCGCCGGAAGACCAAGGGUUCCUGUCCAACGUUAAUCGGGGCAGGGUGAGUCGACCCCUAAGGCGAGGCCGAAAGGCGUAGUCGAUGGGAAACGGGUUAAUAUUCCCGUACUUGGUGUUACUGCGAAGGGGGGACGGAGAAGGCUAUGUUGGCCGGGCGACGGUUGUCCCGGUUUAAGCGUGUAGGUGUGUGUUCCAGGUAAAUCCGGUUCACUUUAACACUGAGGCGUGACGACGAGGCACUACGGUGCUGAAGCAACAAAUGCCCUGCUUCCAGGAAAAGCCUCUAAGCAUCAGGUAACAUCAAAUCGUACCCCAAACCGACACAGGUGGUCAGGUAGAGAAUACCAAGGCGCUUGAGAGAACUCGGGUGAAGGAACUAGGCAAAAUGGUGCCGUAACUUCGGGAGAAGGCACGCUGACACGUAGGUGAAGUGAUUUACUCAUGGAGCUGAAGUCAGUCGAAGAUACCAGCUGGCUGCAACUGUUUAUUAAAAACACAGCACUGUGCAAACACGAAAGUGGACGUAUACGGUGUGACGCCUGCCCGGUGCCGGAAGGUUAAUUGAUGGGGUCAGCGCAAGCGAAGCUCCUGAUCGAAGCCCCGGUAAACGGCGGCCGUAACUAUAACGGUCCUAAGGUAGCGAAAUUCCUUGUCGGGUAAGUUCCGACCUGCACGAAUGGCGUAAUGAUGGCCAGGCUGUCUCCACCCGAGACUCAGUGAAAUUGAACUCGCUGUGAAGAUGCAGUGUACCCGCGGCAAGACGGAAAGACCCCGUGAACCUUUACUAUAGCUUGACACUGAACAUUGAGCCUUGAUGUGUAGGAUAGGUGGGAGGCUUUGAAGUGUGGACGCCAGUCUGCAUGGAGCCGACCUUGAAAUACCACCCUUUAAUGUUUGAUGUUCUAACGUGGACCCGUAAUCCGGGUUGCGGACAGUGUCUGGUGGGUAGUUUGACUGGGGCGGUCUCCUCCUAAAGAGUAACGGAGGAGCACGAAGGUUGGCUAAUCCUGGUCGGACAUCAGGAGGUUAGUGCAAUGGCAUAAGCCAGCUUGACUGCGAGCGUGACGGCGCGAGCAGGUGCGAAAGCAGGUCAUAGUGAUCCGGUGGUUCUGAAUGGAAGGGCCAUCGCUCAACGGAUAAAAGGUACUCCGGGGAUAACAGGCUGAUACCGCCCAAGAGUUCAUAUCGACGGCGGUGUUUGGCACCUCGAUGUCGGCUCAUCACAUCCUGGGGCUGAAGUAGGUCCCAAGGGUAUGGCUGUUCGCCAUUUAAAGUGGUACGCGAGCUGGGUUUAGAACGUCGUGAGACAGUUCGGUCCCUAUCUGCCGUGGGCGCUGGAGAACUGAGGGGGGCUGCUCCUAGUACGAGAGGACCGGAGUGGACGCAUCACUGGUGUUCGGGUUGUCAUGCCAAUGGCACUGCCCGGUAGCUAAAUGCGGAAGAGAUAAGUGCUGAAAGCAUCUAAGCACGAAACUUGCCCCGAGAUGAGUUCUCCCUGAGACUUUAAGUCUCCUGAAGGAACGUUGAAGACGACGACGUUGAUAGGCCGGGUGUGUAAGCGCAGCGAUGCGUUGAGCUAACCGGUACUAAUGAACCGUGAGGCUUAACCUUACAAC
rnacentral:rRNA from 1 species